rnacentral:tRNA from 1 species
GUUUUCUUAGUAUAUUAAGUAUAUGUGACUUCCAAUUACAAGGACUAGAAACUCCUAGAGAAAACA